UAAGGAAUAUUGCACAAUGGGCAAAAGCCUGAUGCAGCAACGCCGCGUGCGCGAUGAAGGCCUUCGGGUCGUAAAGCGCUUUUCUGGGGGAAGAGUAAGGACGGUACCUCAGGAAUAAGGCUCGGCUAACUACGUGCCAGCAGCCGCGGUAACACGUAGGAGCCAAGCGUUAUCCGAAUUCACUGGGCGUAAAGCGCGUGUAGGCGGCUUGGUAAGUUGGAUGUGAAAGCUCCUGGCUCAACUGGGAGAGGACGUUCAAUACUGCCGGGCUAGAGGGCGACAGAGGGAGGUGGAAUUCCCGGUGUAGUGGUGAAAUGCGUAGAUAUCGGGAGGAACACCAGUGGCGAAAGCGGCCUCCUGGGUCGCACCUGACGCUCAGACGCGAAAGCUAGGGGAGCGAACGG
rnacentral:rRNA from 1 species